rnacentral:rRNA from 1 species
UACGGGGGGGGUAAGCGUUGUUCGGAAUUACUGGGCGUAAAGGGCUCGUAGGCGGCCAACUAAGUCGGACGUGAAAUCCCUCAGCUUAACUGGGGAACUGCGUCUGAUACUGGAUGGCUUGAGUUCGGGAGAGGGAUGCGGAAUUCCAGGUGUAGCGGUGAAAUGCGUAGAUAUCUGGAGGAACACCGGUGGCGAAGGCGGCAUCCUGGACCGACACUGACGCUGAUGAGCGAAAGCCAGGGGAGCAAACGGG